AGUGGGGAAUCUUGGACAAUGGGCGCAAGCCUGAUCCAGCCAUGCCGCGUGAGUGACGAAGGCCUUAGGGUUGUAAAGCUCUUUUGCCGGGGACGAUAAUGACGGUACCCGGAGAAUAAGUCCCGGCUAACUUCGUGCCAGCAGCCGCGGUAAUACGAAGGGGACUAGCGUUGUUCGGAAUUACUGGGCGUAAAGCGCACGUAGGCGGAUGUGUCAGUCAGAGGUGAAAUCCCGGAGCUCAACUUCGGAACUGCCUUUGAUACAGCACGUCUUGAAUCCGGUAGAGGUGGGUGGAAUUCCUAGUGUAGAGGUGAAAUUCGUAGAUAUUAGGAAGAACACCGGUGGCGAAGGCGGCCCACUGGACCGGUAUUGACGCUGAGGUGCGAAAGCGUGGGGAGCAAA
rnacentral:rRNA from 1 species